UGUCUUGUGGCGCAACGGUAGCGCGUCUGACUCCAGAUCAGAAGGUUGUGUGUUCAAAUCACAUCAAGGUCAG
rnacentral:tRNA from 1 species